rnacentral:rRNA from 1 species
UACGGAGGGUGCAAGCGUUAUCCGGAUUCACUGGGUUUAAAGGGUGCGUAGGCGGAUAGGUAAGUCCGUGGUGAAAUCCUGCAGCUUAACUGCAGAACUGCCAUGGAUACUAUUUAUCUUGAAUGUUGUGGAGGUUAGCAGAAUAUGUCAUGUAGCGGUGAAAUGCUUAGAUAUGACAUAGAAUACCCAUUGCGAAGGCAGCUAACUACGCGAUAAUUGACGCUGAUGCACGAAAGCGUGGGGAUCAAACAGG